AGCCCCUGGCAAUGGGCAAAGAGACACCUUCUUGAUAGUGGUGUUAUAUCAGCCAGGGUCAGAGCAGAUGGAAGUUCUUUGUCCUAGCUUGAUGCCUGGCUUGGUGGCCUAAACUGUCUUAUGCCUAGGAGUCAUAA